UUAUAAUAAUAAAAAAAAAAAUCAGAGAGUAAAGUUGCUGUAAUAGGGCAGAGUAUAUAGUUUGUGCUGAAGUACUAAUUUGAGUGCAUUUAUUAAUAAUAAAAAAAACAAUGCAAAAAUACAUAAAAACAUAAUAAUGAUGUUCGGGGUUCGAUCAUUUCUGAUCGUUAAUAUUACAAACCAUAUAAAAAAAACAUAAAAAAAAUUAAAAACAUAAAAACAUAAAAAUUAAUUGUCCAUAUUACAGUCCUCAUUAAUAUUCUGGCCACACUCGGCCAUCAAAAACAUAAAAAAAAAAUAAUAAGAAAAUAAAAACAAAUUCAACGAAAGAAUUGUCGAGCUGGUUGUGGUGGUCUAAGGGAGAGCUCCGUUGAGGGAGCUCUGGUACGAAAAGUCACGAGCGGAGGCGAAGGAAUCUCUGUUUCUGGAUCGAUUAUGAUGGGAAUGGGGAAGAGGUCCAGCAGCCUCGGUGCCCUCAUUAUUACCCAGUCGUAUUCUUUCAACCAAAAAAAAAAAUUGUGUUAAUUUUAAUAGAAAAAAAAAAUUCAAUAAAAUUGAGAUCUGAUGAGAGUUCUUACCAUACAUGUACAGCGGCAGUUGUGAAAACUGAGUGCCAGUGGGGUCUAUAUCCGCUUGCCAGCGCCUGACCCGAUUGCCGUGGUUGUUGAACCAGCAGUGCACGUUGUAUUCGCUGGCAUCUCCGAAGGUCCUUAGUCGAGACGUGAUCUCGACGAUUUGCGCUCGGCUUGGAUGAGUGACCCCAUAAUUGAAGAUGUUGGUCAUCAUCUUGACCUGAUCAUCUGUUGGACGCCACCGCUGACUUGUGUAUCUCUCGAUUUCCAUCUCGCUCAUCAUAUUCUAAAACAUGGAAAAAAUGAAAAAAAUAAAAAAAUAAAAAAAAAAAACAAAAACAGAAAAAUAAGAAGCAUAAAAAAAAAUAUUAGAUUAGUCUGUGUUUUCUUUAUUUGUUGUUGUUUCCUUUUAGAUUUAUUUUGUCCAGUCUGUAUUUGAUGUUUCAGUGUCUGGUCUUUGAUCUGUUUCACGGUCCUUGCAAAGGGGUCCUAAACGAAUCUACGUUCAGUUGUCCUUGUCCAUGUCAUUCAUGUUAUUAUGUUUUUGUGUUUUAUUUUUAAGUGGGGUACGUGGCGUUGUUCUACCCGAUUGUCUCUGCCAUACCUUCAAUCGAAGGGAGAUUAACGUCUGGUUUCCAGCCGAUAUACCCCUUAAGUUUUUUUGACAGUUGUGUUUUAUGUGUUUUUCUUUUAAAAAAAAAAUAAAGCAGGAAAGCAGGAAAGCAAGAAGGUAAUAAUAGCAGAAAAAGCGGUAAAGGGAGGAAAGAAAGGAAAGAAGAUAGAUCGGCAGAAGAAGAAAAAUAAAGGAAAGCAGGAAAAUGGAAAAGAGGGAGAGCAGGCAAGAGGUCAGAGAAGAAAAAAUGGAAAGCAGGAAAGCAGGAUGGUAAUAACAGCAGAGAAGCAGAAAAGGAAGAAAUAGAGAUCCAAGGUGCAGAGAACUUACCUGGAGUAGUAGGCUGGCAGAGGAGCUCCUCGCUGAUCUCGGACUCUUCAGAUGGCACGGUGACAGAGCUUCCUCGCAGAUCCAGACGCUCGAGAAGAGAGAAGAGAGGAGAGCAGAGAGAGAGGCUAGGUGAGGAAAUGGCGCUCUGACGCUGAGGAGUACUUGUGGUGGCUGGAAUUGAUCAUUGGACAGUGCUAAGACUCUCCGCAGAGUGUUCACAAGAAGGAGAGCUCAAUGGAUUUUGCAUUGAUUUAUUUUGUGUGUUAAAAUAAAAAAUUUGAUUUAGAACUCCUACACACCACACAGCCUUAAGAAUACCAGCCACCACUCCACGGUUUUAUUUUCCCAUUCAAGGUUUUAUUUUGGCAUUUAGUUGAUACUUUGGAACACAUCACGUCUGGGAGGAAUUCAAAAAUGAAAGUGAAUUUGUUGAAAUAUAACACACGGCCCACCUAGCUUUGAAAAAAAAAGAAGAAGCCUUCAACCUUUGGAGAGAAGCACGUACACACCUUCUUUUGUUAUUAUUACUCUUGUAAAAGAUUGAUUGAAGAAAGAAUACGUGCAAGGUGUUAAAGGAGAUAACAAAUGCUAAAAUAUGGGGUCCAUUCACCACUAAAAAAGCACUCUAGCAAAACUCACGGAACCAAGAAGUUUUCUUCAUUCAUUUUGGCAAACAUACAUCAAGAGCAUACAUUUUGCAACAUGGGAACCACCAAACUCUCUUGUCUGGAACGUGAAUAUGAAGCCAUCAAUUUGGAAAGCUUCAAUUAAAUUAAGUGGCAGCUCACAUCUCACGGCCCACAUGGAAAAAUCUGAAUGGUUUUCUCCAUUUUAUUUUUGGCUAGCACAUGGUCCACCACUCACGCUUUUUAACGUUUAUGGCUUGUAAAAAUUGAAGACAAUUGGAGAUUGGAACGUAAGGAGUGCAACUGGCUGGAAGGAUAGAGAAGCUCACGGUCCCUUUGGUGCAGCACACGUGCAGCAGUGGUGUUCUCCAUUCUAGCAAGCGAAGCAACUCCAUCCAGACGUCCAUAUUUCCAGCAUCCUCCACCAAACGCAGCAGUUCACGCAGCACUUGAAUGAAGAUGAGCAGCAGCAGCUCUUCCGUUCUUCAAAUGGAAGAAGCACCAUCCAGGAAGCAGCAACGUCCAGCAUGCAGCCCUUCACCACGGUCCAGCAGCGUGUGUGUGUUUGGAAAAGAAAGGAAGUGGUGUGUUGUCAUGGUGGCAUGAGAAUGGUAUUACGUCCAGGGGGAAGCAGCUGCCACGGUCUAAGUUGGAAUAUUUUAUUCAUUAGCAAUGAAGUGGUGAAGAGAAAUGGAAGGCUUUUUCACGUCCACAAGGAAACAAAAGUGGAAAAUUAAUUGAUCAAGAAAGUUGCUAAAAGACAAAAUUGAGAAAUGGUGCUGGAUGGCAAAGUCACGUUCAAGUGUGCACAAAAAGAGAAGUAACAGGAGUAGCUUCAGGAGCUAUAAAUUGGCAGAAUUUGGGGGCAGAGGGAUGAGAUUUGGGAAGCAGAUUUUAGUGGAUUUUAGGAGUAGUGUAGGAACUACCCACGUCUGGGAGGAGGCUCUUGCCUCUUCCUCUUCCAAAACUCUCUGUAUUUUAAUUUCAGUGCCAAAACGUAGUUUUCAUUUCUGAACGUGUCAUUUCAUUUUUAGUUGUACUGUUCAACGAAUUUAAUUUCAAGUAUUGAAUCUUUGAUGAAUUUUAUUUUCAUGUUAAGUGUUUUUAUUUUAUCUGUUAAAUUUUACCAGUAAUGAUUUUCCACACAGUUAAAUUCAGUCAUUUCUUUUUACCGUUCAGUUUAUUUUCAACGUUGUUUUUACUGUUCAUUUUCACUGUUGCUUUGGGUAAAUUUUAUUUACACUGCUGUUAUGUUUUUGCAUGUUUAUUGUUCCAGCAUUUUAAUUUCAAACACUGUUAAAUUUUCCGUUUACUGAUUUUUACCGUCUUUUACCGCACACUGCGUAAUUUUCCAUUUUCUAUUUUUACAGUCUUUUACCGUUCAGUUUUUACCGUCGUUAAGAUUUAUUUCAGUGUUUUUAAUUCUGUUUUAUUUAAUUUCCAGUUUUAAAUUUUAUUUUCCGUACAAAACAUCCACAAAACCAUCCCUUUUUCGUGUAAGACUGAACCGACAAAAAUUGGUCCUUGAGAGACGACCUAGGAGUCACUUCCUAGUAACUAUACUGCAUUCUUAAUUGCACAUCAAAUUUGAUCGACCGCGACAGCCGUAUCAAAUUUUGGCGCCGCUGCCGGGGACCAAUGAAGGUUUGGUUUUAGAUUUUUGUUGUGUAAAUUUUUGUUUUGUUAAUAUGUGUGUUUUGUGUGUUUUGUCUUGUAUAUUUUUGUAGGCGACAACGACACCUUCAGCAAAUUUUGGCGGCGUUGUCACUUCAGUUCCAGCAGGAAAGCAGGAAAGCAAGAAGGUAAUAAUAGCAGAAAAAGCGGUAAAGGGAGGAAAGAAAGGAAAGAAGAUAGAUCGGCAGAAGAAGAAAAAUAAAGGAAAGCAGGAAAAUGGAAAAGAGGGAGAGCAGGCAAGAGGUCAGAGAAGAAAAAAUGGAAAGCAGGAAAGCAGGAUGGUAAUAACAGCAGAGAAGCAGAAAAGGAAGAAAUAGAGAUCCAAGGUGCAGAGAACUUACCUGGAGUAGUAGGCUGGCAGAGGAGCUCCUCGCUGAUCUCGGACUCUUCAGAUGGCACGGUGACAGAGCUUCCUCGCAGAUCCAGACGCUCGAGAAGAGAGAAGAGAGGAGAGCAGAGAGAGAGGCUAGGUGAGGAAAUGGCGCUCUGACGCUGAGGAGUACUUGUGGUGGCUGGAAUUGAUCAUUGGACAGUGCUAAGACUCUCCGCAGAGUGUUCACAAGAAGGAGAGCUCAAUGGAUUUUGCAUUGAUUUAUUUUGUGUGUUAAAAUAAAAAAUUUGAUUUAGAACUCCUACACACCACACAGCCUUAAGAAUACCAGCCACCACUCCACGGUUUUAUUUUCCCAUUCAAGGUUUUAUUUUGGCAUUUAGUUGAUACUUUGGAACACAUCACGUCUGGGAGGAAUUCAAAAAUGAAAGUGAAUUUGUUGAAAUAUAACACACGGCCCACCUAGCUUUGAAAAAAAAAGAAGAAGCCUUCAACCUUUGGAGAGAAGCACGUACACACCUUCUUUUGUUAUUAUUACUCUUGUAAAAGAUUGAUUGAAGAAAGAAUACGUGCAAGGUGUUAAAGGAGAUAACAAAUGCUAAAAUAUGGGGUCCAUUCACCACUAAAAAAGCACUCUAGCAAAACUCACGGAACCAAGAAGUUUUCUUCAUUCAUUUUGGCAAACAUACAUCAAGAGCAUACAUUUUGCAACAUGGGAACCACCAAACUCUCUUGUCUGGAACGUGAAUAUGAAGCCAUCAAUUUGGAAAGCUUCAAUUAAAUUAAGUGGCAGCUCACAUCUCACGGCCCACAUGGAAAAAUCUGAAUGGUUUUCUCCAUUUUAUUUUUGGCUAGCACAUGGUCCACCACUCACGCUUUUUAACGUUUAUGGCUUGUAAAAAUUGAAGACAAUUGGAGAUUGGAACGUAAGGAGUGCAACUGGCUGGAAGGAUAGAGAAGCUCACGGUCCCUUUGGUGCAGCACACGUGCAGCAGUGGUGUUCUCCAUUCUAGCAAGCGAAGCAACUCCAUCCAGACGUCCAUAUUUCCAGCAUCCUCCACCAAACGCAGCAGUUCACGCAGCACUUGAAUGAAGAUGAGCAGCAGCAGCUCUUCCGUUCUUCAAAUGGAAGAAGCACCAUCCAGGAAGCAGCAACGUCCAGCAUGCAGCCCUUCACCACGGUCCAGCAGCGUGUGUGUGUUUGGAAAAGAAAGGAAGUGGUGUGUUGUCAUGGUGGCAUGAGAAUGGUAUUACGUCCAGGGGGAAGCAGCUGCCACGGUCUAAGUUGGAAUAUUUUAUUCAUUAGCAAUGAAGUGGUGAAGAGAAAUGGAAGGCUUUUUCACGUCCACAAGGAAACAAAAGUGGAAAAUUAAUUGAUCAAGAAAGUUGCUAAAAGACAAAAUUGAGAAAUGGUGCUGGAUGGCAAAGUCACGUUCAAGUGUGCACAAAAAGAGAAGUAACAGGAGUAGCUUCAGGAGCUAUAAAUUGGCAGAAUUUGGGGGCAGAGGGAUGAGAUUUGGGAAGCAGAUUUUAGUGGAUUUUAGGAGUAGUGUAGGAACUACCCACGUCUGGGAGGAGGCUCUUGCCUCUUCCUCUUCCAAAACUCUCUGUAUUUUAAUUUCAGUGCCAAAACGUAGUUUUCAUUUCUGAACGUGUCAUUUCAUUUUUAGUUGUACUGUUCAACGAAUUUAAUUUCAAGUAUUGAAUCUUUGAUGAAUUUUAUUUUCAUGUUAAGUGUUUUUAUUUUAUCUGUUAAAUUUUACCAG